UCUAUCUAUCUAUUCAAAUAUAUGCAUCCAAAGAUAUAUAUACACAUACACGUAUGUUCUACUUAUAAUGCAUAUAUGUAUAUAUUUGUGUAUGUAUUUGUUUAUGUAUGCAUUUCUAUAUGUAUAUUUGCAUGUAUAUAUUUGCAUAGAUAUAGCUAUAGAUUUGGGGGGCUGGCAAGCCUGAAAUCUGCAGGGCAGGCCAGCAGGCUGGAGAUGCAGGGAAGAAUUGACGUUGCAGCUCAAGUCUGAAGGCCAUCCAGAGCAGAAUUGCUUCCUCUUUGGGGGAACCUCAGUCUUUUUCUUUUAACACCUUCAACUGAUUGGAUGAGGCCCACCCACACAAUGGAGGGCAACCUGCUUUACUCAAAGUCUACUGAUUUCAGUGUUAAUUACAUGUAAACAAUACCUUCACAGAAAAUGUAGAGCGGUGUUUGACCAAACAGCUGAGCACCAUGGUCUAGCCAAGUUGACAUAUAAAAUUAACCAUUAGAGAGGUGAUCUCAGGAAACACCUACAGAGGAAUACAGAAAUGCCACAAGGCAGAAAACAACCACCGAAGUGUGUGUUAUGAAGUCAGUUACCACUGUGGACAAUGGCAGCUUAAUCCCUCUGGAGAUCUCUAGGUACCAGAGUAGAAUACCUGCCUCCAAGUUGUCCUGCCUAAGGGAUGAAGGUCUAGGUCGUUCAUAUACUGACUUCCACCAGUCAUUGGUUCAGAGCUGCUUCCAGCACAGGGUUAGUUCCUCAUCCUUCAGGCCUGCCACGUGGGCAGGGGAAGCAGACACUUGUGUUCAGAGAUAGCGCUCAGGCAAAGAGAUGCAGAUGCUGGCAGCAAGAAGCAGGGCCAGUGUGCAUGGAAAUGCUAAGGGCUGAGGGAUGUGGAUGGGACACAGAAAAUAUCUACAAAACCAGAGAGAAUGAUACGUUCUCAGUCUCUCUCAUUGAGGGUUUAUAACAGUAAAGCGAGAAAAUAGAAAUGAAAGGACUGGAAUUUUAGUCUUUAUAAAUGAGGUAUAAUUAUUUAAUUAAAAAGCUAGAACUUUCAAUGAACCUAAAUACCGUAUUUCUUGAAUAUUCCAUUUAACCAAGAUCCUACUGACAGGUGCCGUGUCAGGGUAAUUCCUAUUCACCUUUCUGGUCUCAGAGAGAAUGUCGUAUUUUCUCUGUCCCCUCUGGCUAGGUCAGGUCCCAUGUUAUACACUCUCAAAGCACCCUGUUCUUUUCCUUCAGAACACUUCCCAGCUCCUUGAAGGAAGGAACCAUAUCUUUCUUUUUUACUAUUGAUACCCCAUCACCUAGCAGAGUACCUGAAACAUAGUAGGUGCUCAAUAAAUAUUUGACCAAAAAAAUGAAGGGGAUAUAACAGAAAGCCUUUCUUGGAAUCCAUUACGCAUUGGCAAAUGCUGUAAAAUAAAUUCAUACAGUGACUCGAACCGGGAUCAAAAGGUAUCUUUGAGAACCCGCUUUAAUGAAGAGACAAUAAUGGGGCUUCCCUGGUGGCACAGUGGUUAAGAAUCCGCCUACUAAGGCAGGGGACACGGGUUCGAGCCCUGCCCCGGGAGGAUCCCACAUGCCGCGGAGCACCUAAGCCCAUGCACCACAACUACUGAGCCUGUGCUCUAGAGCCCACGAGCCACAACUACUGAAGCCCGUGCACCUAGAGCCCGUGCUCCGCAACAAGAGAAGCCACUGCAGUGAGAAGCCCGCGCACCGCAACGAAGAGUAGGCCCCGCUCGCCGCACCUAGAGAAGACCCAACGCAGCCGAAAAUAAAGAAAUAAAUUUAAUAAAUAAAUAAAUUUAUAAAAUAAAGACAAGAGAGACAAUAAUGACUUCUCAACAUGGCAGUUCUUGGUUAGUAAAUGGGUGUUUUUAAAGUACUUGAGUGAAGUCCAAAGCUUAGAAUUCUUAAUUCCAAAGAAUUAAAGUCCAAAAUUUCUUCUCUCUAAUUUCUUAGUCCGCUCAGUCUCAGUCACAGGUAUCCUCCACGUCUGGGUAGAGUAGGGCUUUCUUCAGCAGCUGCCACCUGGGCUGCCUUCGCCUGGAACGGAUAUCGUUCCUCGGAAGUUGAAUUGGCCUCUUGUGUGCUCUGCCUUUAGGAGUCCCGUCACUGCGGCCAUGCUGGUCUUCUCAGCACACAUUUAAUCGGCCACACCAUGGUAAGGAGUUGGUCUUUAUCCCAAGUGUGCAUUGGAUCCACCGAAAUAUUUUAAGAAGGAGGCCGUCGCGAUGAUUGGAAACUGUGCUCUGUACAGCAGGGAGAUAACAAGAGGCAUCUGCUCUCAAGGAACUCAGUCCAGUUGGAGAAGCUGGGAACAGUUUCAAACAACUAUGUGAUCAUAACAAUUUCUUCCAUGUGCUGACUCCUCUACGCUGUGCCAGGCACUUGACAAAUUGAGGAGUCUUUUGACCUUUGGGUUUUCAAAGGAACGGGUACUGGACUUUUCAUUUCACACGUCACAAAUUUGCAUCUUCAAAAGCUGGGAAACGUCAACACCUUGGGAAAGUAGAGUGGAAAAUCUGUGGACAUCUGCUCUCAUGGACCAGGCCAUCACUAGGCUUUAGGGCCCACGACCCGACUUAGGGCCACCUUCAACCUUCUUAGCUUUGCAUAACACACAAGGCCAGGCAGCACAUUCCCUGAAUGAGGCUGCUAGUAAAACCAGAACCUUGUUUCCACAGAAAGUCAACAAUGAAGCCUUUGUGUUUUACUGGAGCGAGACAGGCUUGGAGGAGCUCGGCUUCCCACGGUGGGCUAACACCUUCGCUGGGGCCUUCGUCUCCAGCCCAGGCCCACAGAGAUGGGCGUCAGCAUUCCUCAGGGAACCCUGAGAGAAUUGGUACAGUAGCGAUGCCUGAGAAGGGAACCUGCAGCCCAGGCUUUUAUUCACCAGUAGGAUGAACUGGACAUCUGGAAAGAUGAGUAUCUCAGAACAGUUAUUACCUCCCUGUCAAAAGUUUGAUAGUUGAGCUGAGGCCUAAUAUUUCUAACAAUAAGAGCAAAAUGUUGCAAACUAAUGACUGACUUGUCCUGGAGAAAAAGGAGUGUCUGUGCCACAGAGCACUCGUCCCUGGGGCACUGCCUUGUAUGUUCAUUCUUUAGACUAGCCUUACACCUCAUAAAUCUGUCAGUCAUUUCAAAUAAAAUUUCUGUUUGUGUCGGGCGAACCAUUUCCAGCAUUUUAUCAGAACGAUCUGGCAAACUGGUAAGGCAAUGAAGACUGUAUUCCACAUUGAAAUAAGGAGAGAAAGUGAGUUUUUAUCUUAGCUGAUCAUUUCUUUGCUACCUCUAAUGCUGCACACCUAUUAAAAAGCUAGUGUCACAGUUCCUUCAGUUUGGAGAAUUUAAGUUGAAUCUUCUCAUUUGGGUUGCCAUCUGGUGUGCUACUAACAGUCUCAGAGAGUAAGAGGCCAUCUGUUAAUACUUUUUCCAGGAAGCUUUUUAUAGAGCAGUGAAGUGGCAACUCUCAAAAACACAUUGUAAUGACUUACAAGAUCUUGGGUAUCUGUACAAGUUGAGGCUGAUAUCUUAUUUCUACCAACGGUAUUUUCUUCCAUGGAGGAGAGACAGAGGAAUCAAUAAAUAUGGCGUAUUUGCAUGCAAAAAAAUGCUUAUCCCUAGUAUGUGGAGAGCCAUGAGGCUACCAAGUUAUUGGUCUUAUGGUAUUUCAAAAGGAGGAUUGUAAAUAUAUACUGAGAAGUAAUAACAAUGAUGGUGGUGUUGGUCAUCAUUGACUGAACAGUCACCGUCUUCCGCCCACUGGGCCAAGUACUUUAUGUUCAUUAUCUUAUUUUCUCAACUAUGUUUAAAAUUUUUGCUCUUAGAAGAUUCCCAGUAUAUUCAAAAUAGACUUUCUUUUUUGCAUUUGAGGUAAGCCAGUGGUGGAGAUAUCAACGUCAUGACAAAGUUUAAAAAAUGACUUGAAGAGCAGUUGAGACAAGGCUCAGGUGUCCCUUUGUGUUCAUCAGGCCACGGGAGGAGAUGUACACAGGGACACAUUUUAGAUGCAACAUCUGAAACCCAGAGAGCAGGAGGGAUUUGGUCCAUGUUGCUCAGCAAGAGUGGCAGAACCAGGACUUGAACCCGGAUCUUCUAACUUCUGUGGGGAAACUGAACUUAACCCAACUUCACUGAGGAAUGUCAAAGGAUACAACUAACCAUACGUGCUGGAUAAACUGUCAGGGGAAACUGGUAAGGAACUGUGAAGAACAAACGUCAAAGUCAGCCUGAUAAUUAUGAAAAACUACAUCAGAGUAACUACUGUCAAGGUAACUACCGAUGUGAAUUGAGUAUGUGCUGCUCGCUGAAAGUAGGGUGAUGGAUAACGACUGUAGCUUUAAUUCCGUGUAAACAGGUCUGAACAGCUACUGUAGCUUUGGAGUUACUUGCUAGCUCCCUGCAGGCGUUCAAGGUAUUCGCUCUGCUCAGCGGUAAUGGUUACAAUCAGCUCAUUCUAUACUGAGGAAUUGGCAUGCUCCUUUGGGUCUUGCAUUUUUCUUUUCUUUUCCUCCGAUACUUCCAGGCCAGCAAACUGCACUACAGAUGGCCUUUUCACUUCUUGCCUGAUCACUAUUAAGGAUCCAGGAGUUUUUUUCAGGUAAUGAGGGAGUAGUCCUGUGGGCAGAAACAAAACCAAACAACACAUCUUCCCUCACUUCCGCAAGCUCCUCAGUUCCCUCAUUCCAGUCAUCUGUGAAUUGGGAAGAAUAUUGCUGUUUUAUUUGGGAGGCUGCUAUCCCCUGCUGGAUACUGGACAGGCUUCUUCCACACAAGAAUGCACCAAUGCAUGGGAGGUAGGCUGAAAAAUGGCUCCUUGAGACAUCAGGCCCUAAUCCCUUGGACCUGGAAAUGUUACCUUAUUUGAAGAAAGGAUCUUUGUGGAUGUGAUGAAGUUAAGGAUCUUGAGAUGAAGACAUUACCCUGGAUUAUCUUUAGGUGGGCCAUUUAGGUGAGCCCUAAAUGCAGUCACAUGUAUCCUUGUCAGAGGGAGACAAAGGUGACACACACACACACAGAGGAGGAGGCAAUAUGGAGAUGGAACAGAGAAAGAUUUGAAGAUUCUAGUUUUUUGAGGAUGCAGCCACAAGUCAAGGAAUGCUGGCAGCCACCAGAGGCUGAAAGAUGCUGAGGACAGAUUCUGCCCUGGAGCUUCCGGAGGAAGUGUGGUCCUGCUAACCACUUAAU